rnacentral:rRNA from 1 species
GACGAACGCUGGCGGCGUGCUUAACACAUGCAAGUCGAACGGAAAGGCCCCAGCUUGCUGGGGUACUCGAGUGGCGAACGGGUGAGUAACACGUGGGUGAUCUGCCCUGCACUCUGGGAUAAGCCUGGGAAACUGGGUCUAAUACCGGAUAGGACCGUGCUUUAGUGUGUGCGGUGGAAAGUUUUUCGGUGCAGGAUGAGCCCGCGGCCUAUCAGCUUGUUGGUGGGGUAAUGGCCUACCAAGGCGGCGACGGGUAGCCGGCCUGAGAGGGUGUACGGCCACAUUGGGACUGAGACACGGCCCAGACUCCUACGGGAGGCAGCAGUGGGGAAUAUUGCACAAUGGGCGCAAGCCUGAUGCAGCGACGCCGCGUGGGGGAUGACGGCCUUCGGGUUGUAAACCCCUUUCGGCAGGGACGAAGUUUUUGUGACGGUACCUGCAUAAGAAGCACCGGCUAACUACGUG